rnacentral:lncRNA from 1 species
CCUUCUCUGAAGUAGGAGCAGCACAACAAAGCCUUGUGUUCUUGGAAUUGUAUCCUCUUACAGCUGGGAAUAGAAAGGAGUGGGAGAGCAGACUGCUUGUUGGAAAUGUGUGUAUAUAUUCGGGUCCAGUGAGGGUCAGAGAGAGAGAGAGAAGAAAAAAAAAGAAGAGAAAGGAAAAGAAAAGAAAAAAAAAAAACCGAAAGAAACAAAAGGCCCUCUAGUGGAAACAGAAGUUUGUUCUGGUUUGCUUGCAUCCUGACCCUUCACUGCUUUGUUUUUGUUUUCAUUUUUCCUCUUCCUCCUCCAUCACUGUCACCACCAUGCUGCAGAUGAGCUUCAGUGCCUGGAACGUGCUUCUCCGGUGCUGCACCACGGAUCUAUACCGCUACCCCACACCCUUCUUCUUAACAGUAUAUGCGUCACCGUUAGCAAAGUCUAUCUCCCCUUCCUACAUCGCCUCCUUACUCACAGUCCAACAAACGAUUUUUUUCCUGAGACAAGAUUUUAGUAUGUACAUAGCCUAGGCUGGCAGUGAAAUUGCCAUCCUGGUUCAACCUCUCAAGAGCUGGGUUUACCGGGUUUAUUGGUGUGUGCCACUCCUGCUAUCAACAGACACUUUUGAAGGUCUCUUUAUACCUGAUCUUGUUCUUAGUUCUUUCUGUAGGAUAAGCAAAAACACAAACUGAAGCAAGUGCCUAGAUGUCUGUAAAGCUUCCUAGCUCUUGAUCACCGUAAACAAAGAUUCUGUUUAAAUAACACUUGUGUCCCAAACUACUCUUCGAAUCAGUUCUUGCAUAAAGUCAAAGACUCUCCUACAUUAAACAAGCCAUAGGUUGGAAUAUGAUUUUUCCAAUAAGGAAUAUGAAGAGAAACUCAGACUUUUAUUUUAUUUCGGUUUUUCAAGACAGGAUUUCGAUGUGUCGCCCUGGCUGUCCUGGAACUUACUCUGUAGACCAGGUGGGCCUCGAACUCGAACUCAGAAAUCCGCCUGCCUCUGCCUCCCAAGUGCUGGGAUUAAAGGGUGUGCCACUGCCUGGCAGGAGCUCAGAGUUACUGUAACAUCUUUGUACCUUAUUUUGGAUCUGUGUUUCGCCAUAUUCUCAGGUCAGUUGUUGGUGGGGGUGGUGGAAGAAAAGCAAAGAACCAUCUACGGAAGAGGUGUUUGAUGUCUAUAGUUCCAGGUGCUCAUCUCUUUAAUCAACCACAUCAUACAAGUCAGAAAGAAAGAAACCACAGUGAACAAAGGGAAAGGAAAAAACAAGCCUGUUUUCCCAGCCUCUUCUUCCUCUGGGUGGGGUUAUACAUCCGGGGCCCAGGGCUGGGUCCAGGGCCAGUCUACUGAACAGACAAUUGAGUUUCACUUCCUGCCAACCUGCAGAGAUGGGGGCAGGAUGUCUGAGGGGUACAGUGAUGGGGAGUGUCCAGAGAUUAAAGAGUAAACAGGUCACACUAGUAUUUCCCCUCACUGAGCAGGUCCGUGGAGAGCUUUAGAGACCACUCUUGAAAGAGUUCAAGUCAUGCACCUCACUAAUUUUCAGAGGCACUGUUCCAUAUUCUCAUCUCCUUCUCCUCUUUGAGGAAAGGGUACUAGAUAGACAGGACUUAAGUGCAAUUGAUGAACAAACAGAUACGGGCUGGUAGGCUUGGGCCAGAAUGGUUGCCUGACUUAAUGCUAGCUACACUCUAGGUUCCACUCCCCAGCAUCCCUCCCUCCACCAUACCCAAAUGCAGGAGGAAGCAAAGGCAUAGGUGAGGGAUUAUCACACACACAAAGUGAGGGAUUAGAAGUAUACAUGUAGCCGGGCCGUGGUGGUGUACACCUUUAAUCCCAGUACUUGGGAGGCAGAGACAGGCAGAUUUCUGAGUUCGAGGCCAGUCUGGUCUACA